rnacentral:rRNA from 1 species
CCUACGGGAGACUGCAGUGAGGAAUAUUGGUCAAUGGACGAGAGUCUGAACCAGCCAAGUAGCGUGAAGGAUGACUGCCCUAUGGGUUGUAAACUUCUUUUAUAUGGGAAUAAAAUGUUCCACGUGUGGGAUUUUGUAUGUACCAUAUGAAUAAGGAUCGGCUAACUCCGUGCCAGCAGCCGCGGUAAUACGGAGGAACCGAGCGUUAUCCGGAUUUAUUGGGUUUAAAGGGAGCGUAGGUGGAUUGUUAAGUCAGUUGUGAAAGUUUGCGGCUCAACCGUAAAAUUGCAGUUGAAACUGGCAGUCUGGAGUACAGUAGAGGUGGGCGGAAGUCGUGGUGUAGCGGUGAAAUGCUUAGAUAUCACGAAGAACUCCGAUUGCGAAGGCAGCUCACUGGACUGCAACUGACACUGAGGCUCGAAAGUGUGGGUAUCAAACAGGAUUAGAUACCCCUGUAGUC